GUCCACGCUGGCAUGGGAGAGUGAGUAGACGUUAGAUACAGGGAGAGGUGGUGUUUGAAGGGCGCGUGUGUGCAGCUGCCUUAUUUAACCUCGAUUUUCUCUCAAGACGGUGACACGUGCCAGUGGAAGCUUAAUGGCUGCCGGCAGGUGCUCGUGAGGGCCAGAAACACUUAUAAUAUUGACAAGUGACCCACCAGCUGCUUGGCCACCUGGGGACUGCUCACAGACGCCAUGGUGCAAUAGGAGACUACCCGAUCCCGUGCCUCCCGCCCUGCCCCACCCAGACACCAUGGCCCGGCAGCGACACCAUUCCACCUGCUACACGACGCUGGCUGACGCACUCCUGACGUGGCAGUGACAGGAGGCGGAGGGCAGGAGCAAGAGUCGGAUGGUGAAGAAAGGCGUGAUGGCGGAGGUGGUGGCUGUGGAGGGUGUUCCUGCAGGGUACCUCGGCAGGGUCUAGUGUGCAGGUUUGCAGUAAACCUCCCUGAAGGUUCCAGAGCUGCUCAGCAAGUGUCCAGUCCAGGCUGUCACAAGACUGUGUGAUGGUGGACCUUCCAAUGAUACUCACUGAAAACAGCUGUGCACUGCCACUCACAGGAAAUGAUUGAGUUGCCUUGAAGCUGAGAUGAGUUGGUCAGCUAGUGAGUGGCUUCAAUAAAGUGACUGUGAGGUGUUGGCUUCAAUAAAGUGACUGUGAGGUGUUGCCUUCAAUCAAGUGACUGUGAGGUGUUGGCUUCGAUCAAGUGACUGUGAGGUGUUGGCUUCGAUCAAGUGACUGUGAGGUGUUGGCUUCGAUCAAGUGACUGUGAGGUGUUGGGCAUGGUAUUGUGUUAUUGCAAGUGUAACCAUUAAUAAGUGGUACUGUGGAUAGCAAGCGGAAGAGACCUUGGGAGACUUCCGUUAAUGAGGAGCAACAAGCACACCUCACUGGAGUCUUUCAGGAACCAACAGUCAGGGCCUGAUGUGAAGGUGUCUGCAGCCAGUGUUUGGUGUCCUCUGUGCCUGCCUGGUGGUGCCUCAUUGCAGGGCCUGAUGUGAAGGUGUCUGCAGCCAGUGGUGGGUGUCCUCUGUGCCUGGUGGUGCAGCCUGAUGUGUUGCCUGCUUCAGUGUAAAUCUUGCAAGCCAGAUCUGCCAGGUGUCUCCAGUGUAGUAGUCUAGGGUGCUUUGCUUUGUGUCUUUCGCAAUAAAUAAAUUUGUGAGUAUCAUUCCCAUGUGAAUUAUAUAGUUUGAUAAAAUUACAGAAUGUGCUUGAUAAAAUUACAGAAUGUGCUUGUGUAAACUAAAUUUAUAUAUUGGUGGUAAACAAUUCAUGCAUCCCCAAGUAAAUAAAUAAAAUAAAUUAAAUAGGACCCGAAACAAUAGAUACAAUAGAUCAUCCUCCGGUCAAAAAAAAAAAAAAGCCAGGAUUGGCUGGCCUAUUUUUGGUUAAGUUUAAGGUGAAACUUGCACACAUAAGCCCUGUCCAAGCGACACCGGAGUCGCUCGGACAGGGCUUCUGUGUGCAAGUUUCACCUUAAACUUUUUUUUUUUUUACCAGAGGAUGAUCAAUUAUUACUAGUAUUUUUUGCUUCCAUUUUUUUUUAUUUUUAUCAGGGCUAUGAACUGGUUACAUCAGAAAGCAGCUUAUUUGCAAUUUGUAAAAAGAUUUUAGUAUAUAAUUCCACAAGUAUGAACAAGAUGAUUAAAUAUAUUUGUUUAAAUCACAUUGCCAAAGUUUCUGAGGAGGCAUGAAUUAUUACACCAGAAAGCUUGUUUAUUUGCAACUUGUUAGUAUAAUUCCCUAAGUAUGUACAAGAUAAUAUAUAUAUUGUUUAAUAAAUCAUUAUUGUUUAAUCAUUCCCUAAGUAUGUACAAGAUAAUAUAUAUAUUGUUUAAUCAUUAUUGUUUAAUCACAAAAGUUUAAUAAAUACACAAUAGGAUAAA